rnacentral:rRNA from 1 species
GAUGAACCUCCUUCGGGAGGGGAUUAGUGGCGAACGGGUGAGUAACACGUGGGCAAUCUGCCCUGCACUCUGGGACAAGCCCUGGAAACGGGGUCUAAUACCGGAUACGACUACCGACCGCAUGGUCUGGUGGUGGAAAGCUCCGGCGGUGCAGGAUGAGCCCGCGGCCUAUCAGCUUGUUGGUGAGGUAACGGCUCACCAAGGCGACGACGGGUAGCCGGCCUGAGAGGGCGACCGGCCACACUGGGACUGAGACACGGCCCAGACUCCUACGGGAGGCAGCAGUGGGGAAUAUUGCACAAUGGGCGCAAGCCUGAUGCAGCGACGCCGCGUGAGGGAUGACGGCCUUCGGGUUGUAAACCUCUUUCAGCAGGGAAGAAGCGCAAGUGACGGUACCUGCAGAAGAAGCGCCGGCUAACUACGUGCCAGCAGCCGCGGUAAUACGUAGGGCGCAAGCGUUGUCCGGAAUUAUUGGGCGUAAAGAGCUCGUAGGCGGCUUGUCGCGUCGGUUGUGAAAGCCCGGGGCUUAACCCCGGGUCUGCAGUCGAUACGGGCAGGCUAGAGUUCGGUAGGGGAGAUCGGAAUUCCUGGUGUAGCGGUGAAAUGCGCAGAUAUCAGGAGGAACACCGGUGGCGAAGGCGGAUCUCUGGGCCGAUACUGACGCUGAGGAGCGAAAGCGUGGGAGCGAACAGGAUUAGAUACCCUGGUAGUCCACGCCGUAAACGGUGGGCACUAGGUGUGGGCCACAUUCCACGUGGUCCGUGCCGCAGCU